GUCGUCCGGUGUUUUCCUCCCAUUGCGCCGGGCGAUGUUCCCCUCUGAAGGUUAUGGCCUUCAUUUCUUGGCCGGGCCGCUUUCGCGCCCGGCCUUUU
rnacentral:sRNA from 1 species